rnacentral:rRNA from 1 species
UACGGAAGGUCCGGGCGUUAUCCGGAUUUAUUGGGUUUAAAGGGAGUGUAGGCGGUCUGUUAAGCGUGUUGUGAAAUUUAGGUGCUCAACAUUUAACUUGCAGCGCGAACUGUCAGACUUGAGUACACGCAGCGCAGGCGGAAUUCAUGGUGUAGCGGUGAAAUGCGUAGAUAUCAUGAGGAACUCCGAUCGCGAAGGCAGCCUGCGGGAGUGUUACUGACGCUUAAGCGCGAAAGUGCGGGUAGCGAACAGG